CAGAAGCCAAAUACCACUGAGCGACCUGGAGCUGGAGGAAGCCUUUGGGGUUAAACCAUUUGAGAGCGAUUUAACCCCUUAAAGGAAAGCGAGCACCCAGGGGCUUCCUGGCAUCAUAGCAUUUUCAUUUAGGUGAAGUUGUUAUGGUGACCAGAAAUGUCCUUUAAUUUGCUUAAGGGAACACUAUAGUGUCAGGAAUACAAACAUAUAUUCCUGACACCAUAGUUGUGAAAACGCUAUUCACCCUGGCUUUAUGUGAUAAUGGCUAUGCCCCUUCCCUUUCACGACACUGUCAAAAAGGUACCAAGCAUGGAUGUCAUUACAAUUAUGCCCCCCCCUGGAAAAAUUCCUGCGGACGCCCAUG